rnacentral:rRNA from 1 species
AUUGAACGCUGGCGGCAGGCCUAACACAUGCAAGUCGAACGAGUGGCGGACGGGUGAGUAAUGUCUGGGAAACUGCCUGAUGGAGGGGGAUAACUACGGGAAACGGUAGCUAAUACCGCAUACCAUCGGAUGUGCCCAGAUGGGAUUAGCUAGUAGGUGGGGUAACGGGUCACCUAGGCGACGAUCCCUAGCUGGUCUGAGAGGAUGACCAGCCACAAGGGAACUGAGAAACGGUCCAGACUCCGACGGGAGGCAGCAGUGGGGAAUAUUGCACAAUGGGGGCAAGCCUGAUACAGCCAUGCCGCGUGUAUGAAGAAGGCCUUCGGGUUGUAAAGUACUUUCAGUGGGGAGGCGUUACCCGCAGAAGAAGCACCGGCUAACUCCGUGCCAGCAGCCGCGGUAAUAC